rnacentral:rRNA from 2 species
UCAGGUGGUUAUAGCACGAGGGUUCCACCUCUUCCCAUUCCGAACAGAGAAGUUAAGCCUCGUCACGC